rnacentral:rRNA from 1 species
GACGAACGCUGGCGGCGUGCUUAACACAUGCAAGUCGAACGGAAAGGCCCUGCUUUUGUGGGGUGCUCGAGUGGCGAACGGGUGAGUAACACGUGAGUAACCUGCCCUUGACUUUGGUAUAACUUCAGGAAACUGGGGCUAAUAUCGGAUAGGAUCUCCUGCUGCAUUGUGGGGGUUGGAACGUUUCGGCGGUUGGGGAUGGACUCGCGGCUUAUCAGCUUGUUGGUGGGGUAGUGGCUGACCAAGGCUUUGACGGGUAGCCGGCCUGUGAGGGUGACCGGCCACAUUGGGACUGAGAUACGGCCCAGACGCCAACGGUAGGCAGCAGUGGGGAAUAUUGCACAAUGGGCGGAAGCCUGAUGCAGCAACGCCGCGUGCGGAAUGACGGCCUUCGGGUUGUAAACCGCUUUCGCCUGUGACGAAGCGUUAGUGACGGUAAUGAAUAAAGAAGCACCGGCUAACUACGUG